AGCGAACGCUGGCGGCAGGCCUAACACAUGCAAGUCGAACGAACCCUUCGGGGUUAGUGGCGGACGGGUGGGUAACACGUGGGAACGUGCCUUUAGGUUCGGAAUAACUCAGGGAAACUUGUGCUAAUACCGAAUGUGCCCUUCGGGGGAAAGAUUUAUCGCCUUUAGAGCGGCCCGCGUCUGAUUAGCUAGUUGGUGAGGUAAUGGCUCACCAAGGCUACGAUCAGUAGCUGGUCUGAGAGGAUGACCAGCCACAUUGGGACUGAGACACGGCCCAAACUCCUACGGGAGGCAGCAGUGGGGAAUCUUGCGCAAUGGGCGAAAGCCUGACGCAGCCAUGCCGCGUGGAUGAUGAAGGUCUUAGGAUUGUAAAGUCCUUUCACCGGUGAAGAUAAUGACUGUAGCCGGAGAAGAAGCCCCGGCUAACUUCGUGCCAGCCGCCGCAGUAACAC
rnacentral:rRNA from 1 species